UCUUACGGCCACACCGCCCUGAGUGCGCCCUAUCUCGUCAGAUCUCGGAAGCUAACCAGGGUUGGGUCUGGUUAGUACUUGGAUGGGAGACCGCCUGGGAAUACCAGAUGCUGCAAGUU
rnacentral:rRNA from 1 species